rnacentral:rRNA from 1 species
UACCCAUCCCGAACACGACCGUUAAGCCCUCCAGCGCCGAUGGUACUUGGACCGCAGGGUCCCGGGAGAGUAGGACGUCGCCAAGC